rnacentral:rRNA from 1 species
GACGAACGCUGGCGGCGUGCCUAAUACAUGCAAGUUGAGCGCUGAAGGUUGGUACUUGUACCAACUGGAUGAGCAGCGAACGGGUGAGUAACGCGUGGGGAAUCUGCCUUUGAGCGGGGGACAACAUUUGGAAACGAAUGCUAAUACCGCAUAAAAACUUUAAACACAAGUUUUAAGUUUGAAAGAUGCAAUUGCAUCACUCAAAGAUGAUCCCGCGUUGUAUUAGCUAGUUGGUGAGGUAAAGACUCACCAAGGCGAUGAUACAUAGCCGACCUGAGAGGGUGAUCGGCCACAUUGGGACUGAGACACGGCCCAAACUCCUACGGGAGGCAGCAGUAGGGAAGCUUCGGCAAUGGACGAAAGUCUGACCGAGCAACGCCGCGUGAGUGAAGAAGGUUUUCGGAUCGUAAAACUCUGUUGGUAGAGAAGAACGUUGGUGAGAGUGGAAAGCUCAUCAAGUGACGGUAACUACCCAGAAAGGGACGGCUAACUACGUG